AAAGAAUGAAGGAAGGAACUGAAGGAAGGAGGGGAGGGAACACCAUUUGGUACUCCAUUUCAGGCAUCAAAAUGUCAUGGACUGGCACUGCUGAACUACAUUAUAUGCAAAUACAUGUAAUCAACCUCCCACACAUUCUCCUUAUUCUGGGAAAAGCAGUUUCUGGAAGAUGUAAUUUGGCUCCUAGAAAGCUCAGUUCAAUUCUUUAUUGCAGUCUAUGACCAGCAACAAACAAAAAAAUAUACAAUGAACAGAAGUAUGCAACAGGCAGAAAUAUACAAUACACCACCACUAGAAUGAAUAAAAAGUAAACAGUUUAAUCCCAUUAAAGGUCUUUGCUCCUAGAAAGCUACAAAAGUCUCCAGAGAGUAGGAUGAAGCACUCCUCAGAUUGCCUGGACAAGAUUGCUCAUUGGGUUGGGGCAACGCCUAAUUGCUACCAUCCAUUUUGACCAUGGGAUAGUCUCUUCCCUUCGUUCUCUUAUUAGAUUAGGAUGAUGCACCUAUGCAUGAAAACAACAGGUUGCUCACCUGUAACUGAUGAUCUGGUAGUGAUCCAUUAUAUUCAUAAUAAAUGGGUUCUGCACCUGCGCAGGGACCUCACAGAUAGAUUGACUAGCUCCUUGCGAUGCCCACUCUGCCAGGCACGUGCACCGUGCUUCCAUUAAUAUUGGCAGUUGGGGCGUCCUUUACUCAGUUUCUUGGAGACCGCCAUAUGUUGAUGAUCCUUAAGUGUCCCUGUAAGGUUUGUAUGUUUGCUUCUUGCUACUGUAACGGGGAGGUUCUAGUGGGUCUUAUGAAUACAACGGAUCACUACCAGAUCAUCAUACAGGUGAGCAAUCUGUUUCUCUGGACUGAGAUCCACUGCCAUUGUAUUCAUAAUGAAUGGGUGAUUAGCCAGCUUCCCAAUUGGUGGCAAGCACAGUAGCCCUUGAAGCUAUGGCAGCACCCGCUUUAGCACACUCCUCUCAAAACCUGCUUUUUUUUGCCAAACACAGGUCAAUGGUGUAAUGCUUUAUGAGUGGCGGCUAAGAUGACCAUGUAGCAGCCUUGCAGAUAUCAGCCAUAUUAGAAAUUCCUGAUAGAUGGGCUGCUGAAGCUGCAUAAGCCCUCGUAUGAUAGUACAGUAAUGCGCACCACACAUCCGAGGAAUGUAGAGCCCUUUCCAGCUGUGUUUCUGGGUUUUGAAAGAAGAGUUUUUAUUGCACCGCCCUGCUGUCCCAGACCAGAAGCUUUGGGCGAAGUGGGAGUCUGAAAUAUCCCCCUCGAGAGUUUGAGAAGCGGUGCAAACCAUGGCUGCCUGGGCCACCACGGAGUCACUAGAAUUUCCAAUGUAUCAUCCCAUAUCAUUUGCACCAGUACACGGUUCAUCAAUGGUUGUGGCGGGAACAGAUUAGACUUCUUCCAGUUGACAUUGAUGCCCAGGUCCUGUAGAAGCCACAACACAAACCGGAUCUGCACAUGUCUCUGCAAAUUUAUCUUGAAAAUCCUCUGGCGACAUUGAGGAGGAAUCCUGGAAAAGUAUGUCCCAUAAAUGACGACUGUAUCUAGCAAGACAAGCAGCAUAAUUAGCAAUCUUAAUGGGCAGACUUGAGGUGGAAUAUAUUUUCCUUCCUAAGACCAUCAGUCUUUCUCCCUUGUUCAGCCCGAGUUCAAUGACGCUGACCUCCCUUGGAUGAAGUUGCACAAUCAACUACUUGGGAGUUUGGUACAGGAUGGCAUACCAGUUAUACUCUUCACCACGGCCAAUAGAAAAUCCGUAAGGGAAGCUGUGUGCUUCCCACCACCACCACCACCAUCAUAAGGUAAGCUAUAUUCUUCCUUAAGUAUCGAGUAUCUUCAGAGCAGCAAUUUAUUUUUGUAAUUAAAGAACAUUGCACCAGUUUAUGGAGUUGCUACAGCACUGAAAGCAAACAUGACUUAAUUUACUACAAUCACCUCAGUGCCCAUAUGGCAACUUGUAAAACCUUUACACAAAACUCACUCUCUAUAGCCAUGUGCAGGUUUCCAGGUUAACAUACAAUGAGAAGCACCAAGAAAACAGGGGCCAAACUACACAUUGUAACAUGCUUGGUCCAGAUAUGUGUAUAGUAUUUACUCAAUAGCAGCUGCAAGAGGAGAGAAUGAUCCAGAAUGGCACUGUGAAGGGGUCAAAAGGGUUUGACCAACCCCACUGUCCACAUAUUGCAGUUGCAAUAUGGAUUCCCCUCUCCCUGCCAUGGCUACUGAGAAGAAGAAGAUAAACACUGUGCAAAUUUGGGCUAAAAAUGUUACCAACAUAACUUUGAUCCCAAGUCUUCUCAACGGAAGCUGGAAGCCAGAUUCUGCAUAUGGUAAUGAAUGCAUGCAGCUAGCUCACAAAGGGAGCUUCAAAUGGCCAAGUGUUGAGCUAGUAAUGAGCACAGUUGACAAAUAAAUCCCAGCAGUGUUAUCAAUAUAGUUCCGUUUGGGCAGGGUCUCAUCCUACACACCCAUCAGCCAUUCUUCUGCUACUUUCUGCUUUUUAAAGUGAGAUAUUUUUAUUAUGCAGUGAUAGAAUAAUAUUACACUGAGAAAGAAUGACAAUCUUGAUUGCUGCUAAAAAUCUUUAUUUUAGCAUUUAAAUGUUAAUUAUGGAGAGGGAAAGGGGGUCUAUUAAAGAAUGGCUAAACUUUAAACUAAAAUGUGAGAUACAGUAGGUAUGCAGAAAUUAAGAUUUUAAGAAAUUAAUGCAGAGAAUGCAAAUUUCUUUGCAAUAACCUUUUACAUACAGUAUUUACAGCUUUUAUGACAACAAUGGGAUUAUUUUUAAUUCCAUUUCUUAAUUCACAACUCUUUGAACUCCCCUUCAACCUACUUUCAUAAUGCCUAUUAGUUAGGUAACACUGCUUUAGUUAUUACUUCUUUGUAAUAAUUUCAGAAAGGAGUUACAUUUAUGAAAACAAUUCAUACUUUAAAAUAUUACAAUGUCUCAUGUAGUUAUUUCUGUAAAUCUUGAAAAAGCCAAUAAAAAGAUAACUUUCAUAUCCCCUAUUUCGUACUCCCCAUAUACGAUGAACCAUUGAUGAUGAUGAUGUGAGUCACAAUCCACAAGUUGGUAACACUUAAGAAGGGGGGCGGGGUUUCUUUGCUAACAA